rnacentral:rRNA from 1 species
CUGUCACUUACAGAUGGAUCCGCGCCGCUUAGCUAGUUGGUGAGGUAACGGCUCACCAAGGCGACGAUGCGUAGCCGACCUGAGAGGGUGAUCGGCCACACUGGAACUGAGACACGGUCCAGACUCCUACGGGAGGCAGCAGUAGGGAAUCUUCCGCAAUGGACGAAAGCCUGACGGAGCAACGCCGCGUGAGUGAUGAAGGUCUUCGGAUCGUAAAACUCUGUUGUUAGGGAAGAACAAGUGCCGUUCUAACUAUGCGCGUCCUUGCCGGUCCCUAUCCAAAAGCCCCCGCCAACUUCC